GUUGUCGUUUGUUUGUGUGUUACAUAUUUGUUUUUCGUUCCUUUUUUGUACAUAAAUAAGGCCGCUAGUUUUCUCGUUUGAUUUUUUUUUACAUCGUCAUUUCGGGGCCUUUUAAAGCUGAGUAUGCGGUAUGGGCUUUGCUCGUGACCUAUAGUCGUAAAUUUCUGUGUCAUUUUGGUCUCUUGUGGAGAGUUGUCUCAACAUGGC
rnacentral:lncRNA from 1 species